rnacentral:rRNA from 1 species
UUAAAUGGCUGCAGUAAUUUGACUGUACAAAGGUAGCAUAAUCAUUAGUUUUUUAAUUAAAAGCUUGAAUGAAAGGUUGGACGAAGUAAGAUCUGUCUCUUUAUAAUAAAAUUAGAAUUUAAUUUUUAAGUUAAAAAGCUUAAAUUUUUAUAAAAGACGAGAAGACCCUAUAGAGUUUAAUAAUUUAUUAACAAUAAUUUAUUUGGUUUAAUUAUUUUUAUUUUUAAUAAAUUAUUUUAUUGGGGUAAUAAUAAGAUUUAAGUAAUUCUUUUUUUUUAACCAUUAAUUUAUGAAAUAUAUGAUCCAUUUUUUAUGAUUGAAAG